rnacentral:lncRNA from 14 species
UCUCACCCGUAAUCUCCUCACCCUUCCAUUCACUGAUUAGAGAAAACACUGUGUUUAUAGAUGUAUAAAGAUAUAUUUUUUGGAAGCCUCUAUUUUUCAGACUUGGUUUUCUCACUGCUAAGAAAAGGAUGAUAAUAAUGUAAUUUUAUUUUAAUCUGCUGCCUCAGAAAACGGUGCAUGAAACUCCCUCUUUUUCUCCCCAUAAAAACAAAACAGAUCUAAGCACCCUAGAGAUGUCAUGUAAAAGCUGACCCCAGCAGAUACCUGCCAAUGGCAUCACGCCUGCUUUGGGCCCUGAGCUGCUCACGGCUUCCCCAGUAACCCACUAGCUGAAGAUUUAGACCGUAUGCAAAUCUUGAACACUAACAAAGUCUUCUGAUUCUAUUGUUUUUUUAACACACAGCUAAUCACCUUCCAAUGAUGUAGCUGGGUGUUUGUCAGCUCCUUUUAAAGGCACUUUCCCCCCCGUAUGUCCUUUUUUAAGUUACAGUUCUAGGUGUAACUACUCUUUCUGUCCCAGGGAGAGUCCAUCAGCUGGCAUUGAGGAUCACCCAGGUCCCAGGGCUGGUGGGGACCUACUGUUGAUAUUUUUUUCCUUAUGAAAGGGACAGAAACGAUUAUUUGUGUUUUUUUUCUUCGUUUUUUUUAAUGCAGUCAUGGUAUUUGAGAUUCGAGCUUGUGCGAGUUAAGCCCAGUGUAUUUCGUUGUAAUCACACUGCCGUUGUCAGCAGCCGGAUGGUAUCUCUCUCGCUCACACACACAAACAUAUCCCUCCUUCCUGCACAAAGAACUGCAUAUAUUCUUGCCAAAGAUAUCCUUAAAAACGCACUUUUCCCCACAUAUAUAUAUAUAUUUUUUCGUGUGUAAAUUUGUUGUACGUGCCCUUUUUGUGUUGGUUUGUUCUUUGGAGAAGCCCCUUCUUAUUCAUCCUUCUUUUGCUGUCGAUGCUGCUGUUUGUUGGGAAAUGCUCUUGAGGGGUGGGGUGUGUCAUUUGCUACCUGUCCCAAAUUGUAGUGCUCAAAAAUGUGCAAAAUGUUGGGCUUCCUUUUCAGCAUGUGGGUUUUCCCCAUUCAGUGGUGCUGCCUUGGGCUCCCUCCUGGGAGAUAUUCUGAGGGAUGAUCCAUGUCAUCAUUGCCAGUGGAGAUUGUGGGCUUAUGGGUUUAAGCACAUAAAUUGAGUGAAGUCUGGGGUUGCUCUGGAUGCAACAUUAGCUGGCUGCCCCCUGGUCAAACCACACACGGAAAACAAACCAGGUAGGGAGAAAAACCCAAUGCAGCCUCCAGGCAUCGAUUUUCCAGUGAGUUCAACUGCCUGAACCGAAGUGCAAAGUAAAUCCCCACCCAGCAGGUCGGGCAGGUAAAGAAACCAGUUGCCCCAAAAACCCCAGACAGCAGCAUCAACAAAAGGCAGCUCUUCCCGUUGGAGCAGGCAGGAGGAUCAGACAGCAAAGGAGCCCGCAGGGGCUUGUUUCAUUUCGUUCGUUUGUUUUGCAAAUUGCGAGGUUGGUUUGGGGUUACUCUUUUUUUUUUUUUAAAUAUUUUUAUUUCCUUAAAAGGAAAAAAAAAAAAAGGAAAAGAAAAAGGAAGCAACCCCUCAUUUCUGUUGGCAGUUCCUGUACCGCCGUGUUAUGUGUGGGGUUUUUUUUGUUGUUGUCUUUGUUAUUUCGGGAACGUUACAGAUUUAUUUGCUAAUCAGUGUUAAUGAACAGUUUCAAACUUUUAGACUUUCCCAUUUCUGUGUAUUUAUAUAGAUGGAAAGAAAAAAACCCCAUGUUAUAUUUUGUAUCUUUGUGCCCAUAAUGUUGUUGCAUGUGUAAGGAUGACUUUGGUCGCACCCUGUCCGUGUGUGAAUGUGACUCCGCUGUUGUCUUCCCAUUGUACAGAUGUCAGAUUCUUUGCAGUUCAUUGUAUGGCUUUAUAAAGUAAAAACAACAAAAAAAGAAAUCAGUUAUAUAAAAUACACUGUUGCUUGGAAAGCCAGCUUGGUGUCUCUGUCGCUGGAAAUACAUCUUGAAUUGAAG